rnacentral:rRNA from 1 species
GACGUAGGGCGCGAGCGUUGUCCGGAUUUAUUGGGCGUAAAGAGCUCGUAGGCGGCUUGUCGCGUCGUCCGUGAAAACCUGCGGCUCAACUGCAGGCUGGCGGUCGAUACGGGCAGGCUGGAGUUCGGUAGGGGAGACUGGAAUUCCUGGUGUAGCGGUGAAAUGCGCAGAUAUCAGGAGGAACACCGGUGGCGAAGGCGGGCCUCUGGGCCGAUACUGACGCUGAGGAGCGAAAGCGUGGGGAGCGAACAGG